rnacentral:rRNA from 1 species
CAGGGAAUCUUGCACAAUGGGCGAAAGCCUGAUGCAGCGACGCCGCGUGGGGGAUGAAGGCCUUAGGGUCGUAAACCCCUUUCAGCAGGGACGAAAAUGACGGUACCUGCAGAAGAAGCCCCGGCCAACUACGUGCCAGCAGCCGCGGUAAGACGUAGGGGGCGAGCGUUGUCCGGAUUUAUUGGGCGUAAAGAGCUCGUAGGCGGUUGCGUAAGUCGGAUGUGAAAACUCAGGGCUCAACCCUGAGACGCCAUCCGAUACUGCGCUGACUUGAGGUUGGGAGAGGGAUGCGGAAUUCCAGGUGUAGCGGUGAAAUGCGUAGAUAUCUGGAGGAACACCCGUGGCGAAGGCGGAUCUCUGGACCGGUUCUGACGCUGAGGAGCGAAAGCUAGGGGAGCAAACAGGAUUAGAUACCCUCGUAGUCCCUGAGCGGGCUGGCAAGGCGCAU